rnacentral:lncRNA from 1 species
UUUAAAAAAAAAACUCAAAAUCAAUAAAGUGUCAAAUAAUCAUCAUAUUUAAUUAGUGAGUUUAUACUUUUUCUUGCAAUUAUAUACUGUAAACAUAUUUUGACGUAUACUUGAUAAAUUUUUUUUUAUCUCAUACUGUGUAAAAUUUGAUGUUAUAAUUUUAUAUUAUUUUAUUUUAGCUAUAUUCGAUAAUAAUUUGUUAGCAACAAAAAGAAGAGUACGUGAAUAUAUAUACGUUUUUU